rnacentral:tRNA from 2 species
GGAAGCAUAAGCAUAAUUGGUACUGCAUCCGCCUUGAAAGCGGUUAGUCGUUUGAUCGGCUUGUGGGUUCAAGUCCUACUGCUUCCG